GCUGGGAGCCUAGGCCAAUCUAACCUCUUCAUGUUUUUCUGCCUGCUUUAUCCUGGCCACAGUGGCAGCUGAUUAGAUGGUGCCCACCCAGAUUAAGUGUGGGUCUGCCUUUCCCAGCCCACUGAAUCAAAUGUUAAUCUCCUUUGGCAACACCCUCACAGACACACCCAGGGUCAAUACUUUGCAUCCUUCAAUCCAAUCACAUUGACACUCAGUGUUAACCAUCACAUGGGGUUACCAGAUCCUAUGGACACUGAAGAGGAGCUGCAUGGAGCUGUGGACGAACGUUCUGAGGGUGAAGUAUGUUCCAGCUGUUACUACUACCCCUGAGAGGGCACCACCUCUGCUCCCUUUGCCUGCCCCUUCUCCCCCACCCAAGACUAGAAAGCAGCAUUUACCAACCUGGCUCCUGGAACGUUUGUAUGCGUAGAUCUUGUUUGAGCACUAGCAAGAAGAGGAGAAAGGCUGGGAAAGGCACACCCACUCUUAAUCUGGUUAGGCACCAUCUAAACAGCUGCCAGUGUGGCCAGGAUAAAGCAGGCAGAAAAACAUGAAGAGGUUAGGUAUGUGUUUAGAACUGGUAGCAACCAGAGUGGGUUGAUUUGCCAUGGAGGUGAAAUGUAUCCUCCAAAGAGCAGAAAGACAAGAGCUCAGAGAAUCAGGGCAAUUUAGGAGUUGGAAGACAAGGAUGAGAGAGAAAGAGGGUUACAGCCCCUUGUGAAAAGAAUAUUGAGAACAGCAGAAGUGAAGAAAGCAUUUGGAAGGCAUUUGGCAGGGAAAUAAGAAUAUACUUCCCUCUCUCUGAUGCUUUUUGAGAGAAAUAACAGCAGGGAUUUGAACUGCAUUAAGAUUCGGGCACACGGCAGUUUCAGGGGUUUUCAGUCUGCCUGGAUGUCUAUUACUGGGACUAGGCUAAAUAACCUGGAGGAAAUUCUCCUAACUACACUACUGACAUUCUAGGUAGGAGCCAGAAGCAGUUGCUCUUUUUUUUUUUUUUUUUUUCCCUUUUGGACCUCAGGUGCAAAAGGGGCUCCUCACAUCCUUGUUUCCUAUCAAGCUCAUUACUGUCAGCAGCUAAGACGGGACUCCCACUCCUCUUUCGGCAGUUGUUCUCCACAACCAAGCAUCCCAGCCACCUUUGCCUCUCGCCCUGACAUCUGCACUGGUGUGUGUGAUAUAUGCGAUUAGAUAGAUGUGUAACUUAGAGAAAUAGGCAGUGUUGUGUAUGCAUGUACAUAAAUAAAUAGAUUAAAAUUUAUGUAAAAUAGUGUGCUAUAAAUCUCAUUUGGUUUCUUACAUUUUACACCAAAGCACCAUAUAUUCAAGAUUUUCUUCUGUUGCUCUGUAGCUCAUAAUCACGGCUUCUGGCUCCUGCGUAGAAUAUCAGGAGUGCAGUUAGGAGAAUUUUCUCCAGUGUUACUUAGCCGAGUCCCGGUAAUAGUCAUCCAGGCAAUACUGCCAUGUGCUAAAUCUGUUUGUGGAUUUCUCUAGGGUGUGCCUCUGGGAGAGUAAUACAACACGGUAUUUCUUGCUUGUUAUUAAAUUGAGAUAUAAUGUACAUGCCAUAAAAUUUGCCCUUAUAAAGUCUACAAUUCAGUGGAUUUUAGUAUUUUCACAAAUAUAUUCACAUUACCGCAAUCUAAUUCCAGAAGAUUUUUGUUACCACAUUAAAAAAAUUCCUGUUCCCAUUAGCAGUCACUUCCCAACCCUCCACCAACCACGGGCAACUGCUGCCCUACUUUCUGUGUGGAUUUGUCUAUAUUUCUUUCCUUUUAAAAAAAUGUUGUUUAUUAAGUUAUUGACUCUCUGAUGUAGAAAGUUAAAUUAAUUAUACAUGUCAGACUAUAAAGCAUGAGCCUAUUUUUUUUUUAAAUGACCUAAUUCCUCUCUGAUCCCCACUUCCUCUCUCCCCUUCAUUGGCACCUGCUUUGGAGUUUCGGGUUAACUGUGAUGUUAACUAUGUUAACUAAUUAUACUUAGGACAUAUAGAGUAUCCUUUUGUGUGCAUUUUUUUCACGUACACAGAGAUAUUGUGCUAGAGUUUCUUACUUUCUCACUCAACUCUACCAUUUGGGAUCCAGACAGAGGGUACAGUGCAGCGGCAACAGCAGCCUUUGCGGAAAUACAGUUUCCCAUGAAAGGGGACCGGAGCCCACUGGAGAAACUGGUGAUUCCACGAUAGGGCAAAAAAAAAAGUCCAAAAAGAGCCUGGAAUAUCUCUUCAUACUUCCCAGCAGGAAAGCUAUCAGAGGCCAGCAGGGACACACGAAAUAUCCUCAGAAAACAAAUUCGAGAUCAAUAAAGAUAUAAACUGCCAUGCACCAGAAAACAUCCCAUAGAUUUAAAUCUUAAGUACAUACUAAUCCUGGAAAAAAAUAACUAAUUGAUCAGUACUGGAGGAUAGCAGGGAAUAGACGCAUUUAAUUUGGAAAGUGGAAGCAUUAGGAAAACACCAAGCUUUGUUCUGCUUUACCUGCUUGAAUUUAUCUGAACAUAACUAAACCAUAGAUGAGGGAAAGUUUCUGUCUACAAAAUGAUUUCAGCUAAUGAAUGAAAAAGAAAUGAUAAAGUUUGACUGUCUUUUGAAGCCCCUCAAAUUGGGGCAUAGGCUGGGAGGGUUCUUGGCUUUACCCAGGAAAGAAUUCAAGGGUGAGCCAGUGGUAUUAAACAGCAGCUUUUAUUGAGGCAGCAGCAGAGGUUCUGCUCCUUGCAGAGCAGGGCUCCCCCAUGGGCAGUGCGCUCAGAGCAGGAGCUCAGAGGCAGCUCUGCACUCAUAUUUAUAUCCACUUUUAAUUAUAUGCAAAUUAAGAGGCAGUUUAUGCAGAAAUUUCUAGGAGAAAGGUGGUAACAUCUGGGUUGUUGGGGCGUUAUCAUGAAAGGGGGUGGCAACUUCCGGGUGUUGCCAUGGCAAUGGUAAACUGGCAUGGCGUUUUAUGGGGAGGUGCUUCUGCCCCGACCUGUUUUAGCUAGUCCUCAGUUUGGUCCAGUGUCCAAGCCUCGCCUCUGGAAUCUAGUCUGCCUCCGACUUCAUUAUAAUUUUUAGACUUUAAUGAAUUAGUGGAUAUAGGCAAUGAUCAUAAGUAGCUGUUCACAUAAAAUGAGAAACAAACAGACAUCGUGUAGUUUAGAGAUAAAAAUAUCAUCUCUGAAAUACUUUGGCCUAAAUAAAAUAAAACAAAGCAAAAGAACCUAAUCUGUUCAAGUUUCUAGACCUUUCAAUUUCCAGGAAAUUCAGGAGACAAGAACAUCCUAAAUUAUUUCAUGCAGACGUGGCUGCGAGAAACCCUAUGGGACAAACAUCCUGGUUUCUUCAACAAAUGGAAUUCACAGAUUAAAAAGAAAGAUGAGAGGGAGAACCCACGGAAAGGUUUAGAGACUUAAUAUACAGAUAGACCAAUAGAGAUACACC
rnacentral:lncRNA from 10 species